rnacentral:rRNA from 1 species
AUGCCCGCGAUAACAAACAGGGUGAGGACUGAGGACAAAGGAGAAAGGAUGUUCAACGGAAUGGUGACUACCAGUAUCACGUUGCCGUUGCCGGCGUCGUCGACCUCCAGUAUCGCGUUGCCGUCGCCGGCCGGGCUGGAGGCCCCGAUCGGUGAUGACGGUGCCUACGUGCAGGAAGAAGGCCAGAUCGCUGGAGGGCUGGCCGCCAGUGCCGCGCUGUCGCCACUGCUGGCUAGCCCCAUCUUGGAUGAAGGGGGUGCCCGCACCGUACUGGCACAGAAUGCCUCUCUGCAUGCAUUCCUAGAUAGUUACCUACAAUUCAGACACCGGUGGUAUGAUUUGCCACACAGGGGCCCCAAAGGGACAGUUGCUGGUUUGGUUGUUGGGGAGCUUGAGCUUUGCCGCCGUGUCUUUAUGGUCCUCUACCGCAUAUCAUCAAACAAGGAUCCUGGAUCAGGCCCGGGUGAGUCCCUUAGUGCGAAGGAGCAUACAGCCCUUCUACAGCAGAAAAAACUGCUUGAUCUACCAAAGUUGUUGGAUAUAUGUGCUAUAUAUGGGCAUGACAAUGGGGAGUUGACAAGUUCACUGGUUACAAAUGCAAUCGUUGUGCAGCCCAAUUUACUCGAUGGCAUCAAUACUGUCCUUCCCCAAUUCCUGGACAUUUUCCACACAAUGCAGGACAGAUGCAUGGACUCACUACAGGUGCUCAGUUCACCUGGACCAAAUGUCAGUGGACAUACCCAGCUUCAGAAAGAUUUCUCGGAGGUGCUGGAUUUUGUUAAUGAUGCAAUUAUUACUCUGGAUGCCUUUGCUGAUGCUUACCAGCCUGCUGCAUUAUCAUUAUGUGCUUCUUUUGAAAGAGGGGAUCGAGCUGAGGAAUUGUUGAACACCCUUGCAAGUUUGUAUGAUUUGUUGUUACCAUCUUUGCUUCAGGGGUUUCAAGUUAUGUCCAGUUCCCAAAGCAAUGGAGAGACUUCGUCUGAAAGUAUACUUAAUGACAUAGUUCUUGGCAUAAGAAUGCUAUCAAAGAGAGCUGUUGGAUUUGGUUGGAGAUUAUUAGAGUUCUGCUAUUUAAAUGAUCAACUUAAGGAGGAGGAUGUCCAAGCAUCUACUAAGAUGUUUCCAGCUAAAGUCGAAGAUCCUAUGAUCAGGGGAGAAAUAAUAGUUCAAAUACUCAAGGAUAUCAAUAGAGAAGCUACUUACUCUUCUAAAGGGAAUCCUGGAAAGACGUUUCUGCAAGCUCUUCAAAAGGAAUUUCAGUUGAUGAGCCGGAUUGGCGAUAUUCGGAACAAAGGAUGGAUAUACAUGGAGGAUGAGCAGUUCCAGUUCAUAUCACGUCUGUGCGGAUCCACUGUCACUUCUUGGAAUAGUGUCCCUGAUUUGCCAAUAUCUUCCCAUGGUGGUGAACUUCAACAGAAGAAUGAGGAAGCUGCUGUCAUUGAGUCCAAGAUUAGUCAGAUAAGGGACCUUCUUCCUCAUUAUGGGAAAGGUUUCCUUGCCGCUUGCUUGGAAGCCUACAACCAGAACCCUGAGGAAGUUAUCCAAAGGAUACUAGAUGGAACACUUCAUCAGGAUCUUCUAGCUUUAGAUACCUCGUUACAAGAGAUGCCACAACAACAAUCUGCACCUAGUGUUGCGAAAGAUAAAGGCAAAGGCGUACUAGUGGAAACUAUUCCUAAUAUUGCAAAUAAACCCCAUAAAGUUGAAGCCCAAUCUUCUUCAGUCUCAUCAGCAUCCAAGGCUCCUAUCUCAUAUUUAUCUUCAGUUUCAUCAGCAUCCAAGGCUCCUGCCUCAUCUGUAUCAUCAGUUCCACAAGGUAGAUUUACAAGGAAGACCAAUGAUGAUCUGCCCAACUACGCAGUUCUAGACUCGCAAAAAGCCAAAGAUGCUGUUAAGUCAGCUGUCCUUGAUUCCCAGUAUGAGUACGAGGAUGAGUAUGAUGACUCGUUUGAUGAUCUUGGCUUCAGCGUGGCGGAGUCAAGUUACGAGGAAGCAGAGGGCGCCAAUGAUGCUGAGGGUUCCUCCAGUGGCCCACGUUGGGCUUCACAGAAGAAGCCACAGUUUUAUGUCAAGGACGGGAAGAACUACAGCUACAAGGUUGCUGGUUCAGUUGCUGUAUCAAAUGCUCGAGAGGCGGCAGUCUUAAACAAUACUCAGAAAGAUACAAUUCAUGGUCUUGGUCGUGGUGGAAAUUUACCUAUUGGUGGAAAUUUACCUAUGGGAGUUCCCAACAGGCAACAUAGAGUUGUGGAGGAAGAGGAGGGUGGUCAUGCAAACAGCUUCAGCAGAGGAGGCUCGAAUCCCCGUGGUCGGGGCAGGGGCAGAAGAGGUGGCUGGGAUCAGGGUAACCCAGCGGAGGAGAAUGAGAAUUCUAGUGGCCCACAAAGUUUUGGCCGUGAUGGAAGAAGAGGGGGCAGGAACCAUGGCAACCUACCAGAGGUAAACUAUGGUCAGCAAGGUUUUGGCCGUGGUGCAAGAAGAGGGACCAGGGAUGAGGACAACCGGCCAGAAAUGAACAACCAGCAAGGUUUUGGUCGUGGCGCAAGAAGAGGGGCCAGGGAGGAGGACAACCGGCCAGAGGUAAACAACCAUCCUAAUCCCCAGCAAGGUUUUGGUCGUGGCGCAAGAAGGGGGGACAGGGACGAGGACAACAGGCCAGAAGGGAAUAACCAUGGCCAGCAAGGUUUCGGUCGUGGUGGAAGAAGAGGGGACNNNNNNNNNNNNNNNNNNNNNNNNNNNNNNNNNNNNNNNNNNNNNNNNNNNNNNNNNNNNNNNNNNNNNNNNNNNNNNNNNNNNNNNNNNNNNNNNNNNNNNNNNNNNNNNNUAUGCUUGACAGUGGCCGAGGCCAUGGCGUCUCCAGAGGAGAAUUAUGAAGGCAAGGGCGACAAUCAUGGCGUCACCAAGGAGCCAUCCAUCCUUGAUGAUGCCACGCCCUUUGCUUCGCUCAUUCACUUCCAUCACGUCUCCAUUCUACUCUACAGGAAGGAAUGA